rnacentral:rRNA from 1 species
UACGUAGGGGGCAAGCGUUGUCCGGAUUUAUUGGGCGUAAAGAGCGUGUAGGCGGUUUGGUAGGUCCGCUGUGAAAACUCGAGGCUCAACCUCGAGACGCCGGUGGAAACCAUCAGGCUAGAGUCCGGAAGAGGAGAGUGGAAUUCCUGGUGUAGCGGUGAAAUGCGCAGAUAUCAGGAAGAACACCCGUGGCUAAGGCGGCUCGCUGGGCCGGUCCUGACGCUGAGACGCGAAGGCGUGGGGAGCGAACGGG